AUACGCCCCGGGGACGACCUCCUUUGGGCCCUCGGAUUGGGCCCACGAACCCAGACCGGGCUUUCCCAUUGGUGGGUGGCGCUGUCAGUGGGCCCCCGAGCUCCGCGCACAGCUUGCUGGGAGUUGUAGGACGAGGCGUCCUCCUCGUCCGGGAGGCUUCGGACGUGCCAACAGACGACGUUUCUGCUCAGCCGGUGGGAGCCCGCGAGUUCCCCUCUGGGCCUCCCCAGCUUAUUUUAGUUCAGGAAUCCGUCAGGCCUAGGCACGGGCUACGAGAGCUUCGUUUCCCGGGACUAAGGGCUCUGCGGCCCUGGUUCCGGGGACCCGUCCGGUUGACCGUUGAACCGAGGCCUGGCCGUCGGGGAGCUCGGCUCGCGGUUCGCCGGGGCUGGAGAAGCCGUUGUUGCCCUUCGGGGUCGGGGGCGCGGAAGACCUGAGGGCUUAAGGAUUUGUCACCCAGAAUUCUACAGUUCUGGAUACCAGAAACGGAGCACGCUCGUCCCGCCGUUUUGAUCACGGGGGAGGGCCCGUGGCUGGUCGCAGUGGGAGUGGAGGAUGUCGAAGAGGGAUGAGCCCUUUGUGGGCUCACAAACUGAUGGGGAGGAUGAACGCGUCCGGCAGCCUUGACAGUUUCUUGUCUCCUGGAGUCUCCUGAUUCGGCCCCGUGGGGGCUUUGCCACACCUGGGAUCUGGGACCGGUAACUCCACAAUGUCCAGAAAUGGCUUCUUUUGUUAUUUUUAUUUAAUGAACAUGCCAGCUUGCAAGAUUAAUCAUGGAAAUUUGGAUUUAGAAGAGACCCUUUGUCUGGAAUACAUUUGCCCCCAGAUAUCUUCUUGGCUUGUUUCCUAUCAGAAUGGAUUCUGUGGGACUGUGCAGGCCACUUUCUGUUUUUUGUCUUUUCCUGUCUUUUGGAGGAGCUAUUCAAAAUGGUGUACUUGAGGUUGGACAAGAAUGACCAUAUAAACUGGUCUCAGAAAACAUUUUGGAUCAACUGGAAAAGGCUUCACUUCAACAGAUCACAGUUCUCUUCUGAAGUCUCAGAGGUAGUCCCAGAAGGACUGUUGGGAACACAACAAGGUGGUGUCGCCAGAGCCGGUGGGAGAGGCUUGCGAUUCCACUGGCAGCCCCUCAGUGACCCAGGGAGAGGCUGCGGUGGGAAAGGGCCCCAAGUGUAACUGAGGCAGUAUUGCAGUCUCCUCCAGGGAGAAGAGCCGUCCUCACAGAUAGCUGCAAACCCACAGGAGCAACGAAGCUGAACGCUCUCAAGGACUCCUCAUAUUUUAAUACAUAUAAUUACAUGAUGGCCAAUAUUUAUAUUAUAUUUUAAGCCUCUGAUAGCGCUUUUACACAUGACCAGACUCUUUCAGAAAUAGUAUGGGUUGUGAUGAUAGAUUUGAGCUUGAAUUCUGGUUCAACCUGUUGGCUGUGUGAUCUUAAAUAAGUUACUUAACCUCUCAGGACCUGUUUUCUCCUCUGUAAAAUGGUGAUGGUGAUGGUGAUGGGGCAAGGUGAUACCUGCCAUAUAGGAUAAGGCUUGAAUGAGAAAAAAGACCUAGUCAGACAUUUGACACAUAGGAGGCGCUCGAUUUCCUUUCCUUCUCUAAAGGUACCUAUUUGCCUCAGUUGACCUCAAGACUUCCACAAUAGUCCCCUGUGUAUAAAGGUAACAUAUUCUCUUCAAAUCUGUCUCAUGUCACACAAUGAUUCCUCACUGCAGUGAUGGGAAGGAGGUAGUGAUGUCUGUAUUGUUAAAAAGCCCCACCACCCCCUGCCCCCAGACUUCCCUGCCGAGAAUCACUGGUCUACACUUUGAUAUCCCAAGUAUCUCUCAGUAGUUUAAUAUUUUUGUUUGAUAUUUUCAAUCACGGCUUUAUUUCAAUAAAGUAAGGACUUGCCUUCAUGGGAGGGCAAGACAUUAAGCUAAUGAAAAAGGUAGUCCAUAAAUUACCUUCUCAUGUAUAGCUAGGUGCCAGGAAGCAUUUUCUUUAUUGGGCAGUGGUAGGUGGGGCAGUUAAUGGAAAGAAUGGUGGAAACACAGAGAGUAUUCAGGGCCUACAGGAGGGUUGAUUGGGCCAUGUGGGAGAAAAUGGAUAAAAGGGAAGGGAGAGGAAACUGAAGACAAUUAUUAUUUUUCUCCUAGAUCCUCAUUUAGCAGGCUGUGACUUGGCUUCUUCUGGGGCACCACUGCCUCUCAAUAGAAGCUGUUAUGUGUAUGCUGUAUCCCUGUCAUACUUCUAGUCUCACCUACCCUAGGUGUGAGGCCUGAACCCACCACUGGAGUCCUAUAUGGCUACCUGAACCAACUCAUCAAAGUCAUAUUAUGUACCAUAAGGUCCUGGAAUUGUAUCUGUCAAAACCUAAAUCAUUCUCUCUAGAAUGACACAUAAGUAGUUACAAAUAACAUUUGGUAACUGCAGAUAUAGAGGGCAAAGAGAAGGGAAAUGCUCUCACUCUGCUAUGAACUGCUCACAGGCUAGAUUAACUGAGCAUCACUUUUGGCUUCUUCUAAAGAAGGGAGAUAUUCAUAAAGUUCUUAUUUGAAAUGUUGUUUAGAGUUUUGGGUAAGGGAUCUUCUGAUUGAAAAUGCUAAGGACACUCCUUAGGCAGGAUGUUUAGAUUUGAACUGAAGAGACAAGGUAAUGCUGAAGGUCAAGUUAUGACUUUGAGAAGCCACAGACAUAUCAUUUUCUGGGGGAGCCCGACCUUUCAGUAGACACAGGGGCUCCUGUAGUGGUAAGUGCAGAGCCCCCUUCUAGGCUGCGAUUUAACUGCUUUGUCCCAGCAAACGCCAUCAGGAAAACAAGGCUUCUUGGGUGUAUCUGUUUGACCCUCUUCUAAGAGUAGACUUCCAAGGGCUACCUGCCUGGACCCCCAUCCUUAUUUUGUCAUCAUCUUCAAGGGAGUCCAAGCACACAGCAGUGAAAACCAUGCUAAAUUGCAUGCAUAGACCAAAGACAAGAGUAAAAUCAUGUUAUGUAGAACUGCUCAGAAACAGCUUCAUGGGGAAAGAAUUUUGCUGGAGGGUAGGUAGAAUUUAAAGAAAGACAGGAGAGAGCAUAGCUAAGGCUCUAUUUUGUGACAGUUAAUUCUCAUUCAUGGUUUGCAUACUGGAACUCCUGGAGAUGACUGACGUGAAAGAGGAAAUAGGACAAAGUCAGAAGGAGCAGGGGCUCAGGCACAUGGUAAGACAGUCUGGAUUAGAACAGCCAGUUGGAUGUGUGGAGACUUCACCAGCCGGAGGGAGAUUGGGAAUUCCGUUUCAUCAACAGAACCGAAACAUACCACAUAUGCCAUCAAGCAGAAGCUUUAUUAUGCAAUAGUGAACCAUGCACACCCUUUCCCCCAAUUAAUAAUGCACAGAUUGAGGUCAAUGUGCACCGAAAACAAAUCUUCAGACAACCUGGGGAUAGCUGGGAGCUGAUACUGCACCUUGAAAUUGGACUUGUUCGGUCAAAUGUGUAACACUUCUGAAACUUUUUAGCCGUUGGCAUCCAGGUUUGAGCUUCCCCAAAUGUUUGUGGUGUGCAUCAUAUUCUGGUUCUUUCACUUUAGCUGAUACAAUACUGUUGUCUAAUGCAUCUGCCGUGUGCUCAUGGACAAGGCCAAAGAAUUAACCUGGGUUGGGAAUGUUUAUGCUCUCACAGUUUGCUUUUUCAAUUUGGUUCAGGAUUGGUCCCGCCUUGUAAAAGGCCAAUUAGGACCAAGCUGGAAAUACAGCAGGGAAGAGUUGUUCUGAAAGUCCCCGAGAAUUUGUCCUUUGGCAAUUAAAUUUUCUAUAGAUUUUUAUCCCUCUACCAACUAUCAGUGCAAUUUUUGGCAAGUCACAUAACCUGAGGCCAUGACACACACUUCACCCUGGGCCUCUGGGUCUUCAUCUGACAAGUGAAAGGACUAGGCAAGAUGAUUUUGAGGUCCUUCACCUCUAAGAUUUGAGAAUUUGACAAUUCCUGAAUAGUAAACAUCAGAUUUUUUGACACUAGAGCAAUGGGUUUGUCAACCUAUAUGUAUUCUCCCAAAUGUUAUCUGCCUCAAGCCACUGAGACCUUUCCCAGAUGGACACAUGGCAGGCUUGGCAAAGUCUAUGGAGUUUCCUUCAGAAACUAGGCCCAGCCACUCCUAUUCAUUUAUCUCUUCAUUCAACAAACAUUUAUUGAAGGCCUGUUAUGUGCUAGGUGCCAAUCUUUAGAACUUGAUCCAUGGCUUUUUAUCCAUCUUCCCUAUGCUCACUUUCUUUGACAAACCAGGGAGACAACAGUAUAGGAAAUGUGCAUUUAAUCAUUCUCUUGAAUGCUCAGAGCUCAAAAACUGAGUUUUCUAUAACAAAAUGUAAUACAGUCAUGGUGGGUCCAAAGUGUCAGGGAGGCAGACCUCAACAAGGGAAAAGUAUGGAAAGGGGGUGUGUGUGUGAACAAAGCAUUCUUUUCGAUUAAAACUUUAUUCUUUAGGGUCUCAUUUCAAAGGUCCAUUGCCCCUGCUUUCAGAAGUCUCUGUAUGUUUCAAGGAGGGGACAAGUUUUCGUUGUCUUCAUCGGAAUUAUGACUAGGCAGGGUCCUGAGAUCUGAAUUUGGAGCAAGAGAACUUGAGAUAGACCUCAGGCAGCUCUCACAGAACCUAAUUUGUACCGUAGAAGGAAGGGAAAACCCACCAGAUACAGCCCCAUCAGGAAUUCCUGUUUCCCUGAAACUGAGCUCUGACUCUCUGUGUUGUGACAGCAGCCAGAGAGACAGAGGAUGGUGCCUUCUCUGUAGGAAGCAAACAGGUUUUGUUUAUCCCCCCUCUUCUCUACAUCCUCUUCUAGGACUGACAUUUGGGGCUGGGUAAUUCUUUGUUGUGGGUGGGUAAUCCUAUACACUGUAGGAUGUUGAGCAGCAUCCCUGGGUCCUAUCCAUAACAUUAGCACCCUCCUCUCUCCCCCGAGUUGUGACAACUAGAAUUGUCUCCAAACGUUGUCAGAUGUCGGCUCUGUGUGGGGAGGGGUGUGAAAAAUCACCCCGAUUGAGUCCCGCUGCUCUAGGUGCUGUUGAAAGCUGAGGUUAUCACUGUCCAUGCAAGACAGAAAGGAGAAGCCUGAAACACUUGUGUUGACCUAAUGCCUUAUGCAGUGAUGACGAGAGGUCCUUUCCUGGACCAGUCAAGGAUGCAUGUCAUCUGAGAAAUAAAAUAGCAUUUGUUUGUUUAAAAAAGAAGAUGUUUGGAUAAUUUGGAAAACUGGUGUCUCCCAACUACAUGUUUUAAGUUAAAAUUAUGACCUUGCCCACAUUUCUUUAGCAUUUGUCAGGUGGGAGGAGAUUCCAAGGCACUUUGGGAAACAUCCUAACGAAAAGUGAAUUAUUUGACCCAUCACUAAAAUUCAGCCACCUCUGAAUUGUGAAGUGGCAGUUAAUUAGCAGCUUCUUACUGUAUCCACUGUGGCUUAAUUUAUGGAUUAUAAGAUGUGGAGGUAUUGCAAAUCAAAAAUUUCUGGGAACUUAGAGCAACAUUACAGCAAUAUAAAGAUUCAGAGACAAAGGAGAGGCAAUAUCCCAUCCUCUCACUCCCUGGAUGAGGGGGGUGGUUGUAAGGGGAGGUCCCUGAGGUACAGAGAUCCACUUGUCUCCACUUGCAAUUGACUUAGUCCUAACACAUAUCCAGUUCAGAUGAAUUAUGUUCCCAGCUUUUAAUAUAGGUCUUUGAAAAUAGAUUUAUUUGGUUCAUAUUGGAGUCUUCUGUGGGUUGCUUUUGACUUUUUUUUUUUUUUUUGCUUCUUGAUCUUAUUUGUUCACUCCAAACUUCUAGACAUGAAUUCAUUUCCCCCCAGAAAUACAAAACUAGGUCAUAUCUUAUGGUGAAAUAGUUCUGCAGAUUCCUGGGAUUCUGAAAAUAACAGAAAUAGGAUGUCCUUACAACCAUUCAGCAAACAUUAUGGAGCACCAAUUGUCUCUGCCCCUGUAUGAGGGUUUCUCUUGUUCAGAGAUGGGCUCCUUUUUCUGUAUUUGGAUGAUGUUCUAUAAAGAUCACAUGCUACCAUGGGUUGCUUGGGGGAAAGAAGAUGGCUUGAGUCUCUUCUUCAGGAAGGGGAUUGUGCUUAGAGAAGACAGGAACUGAGAGAUGAGCUAGGAGCAGGCUUCUGGGUAGAAGUAGAAAGAUGACUUCUCCUUGAGUGUCCAACCAAGGAAUGUGUGUGACCUAAAAUGUUGUGCUCAGCGUUGGUUCACAACUCUCCCAGGAGGAGCUCCCUGGGAAUAGUCUGAAACUGCGCCCCCUUCCUUGUAGAGCAGGGAGAGACAGAAGAAAGAGGCAGACCACUCCAGGUUGGUGGGUGGCAGUCUCUGAGCAAAGGGCACUUAUACAUGAGGCUCGUCCUGGGCAGCAAGAGGACGAGUAGAUCCUUGCAAGUCUUAAAAUUCUAUAUAGGGGCCAUCACUAGGUUCGGUCACAUACACCGUGCAAGGUGUUCUCAACGCCACAUCAUUAUCUCAAGGCCGUGUCCUUGGAGCAACCUCUGGGAGCGAGACAGGCAAGUGGGACCCUUGUCCCAAGGACAGGGGUGGAGGUGAGGAGCCUCUGAUCACCCGGGUCUAGCUCAUGGGUCAACUGACAGUCACUCACAUCUUUUCAAUGACCUUCCCCCACAGUCCCUUAUGGGUUUCACAAGUAAUGAUCUACUUAUUUAUUUUUAAAAAUUGAUUUAAGGUUAUGCCUCUGUAGUUGUAGGGAGAAAGAGGUGGAGCUGUAGCUAAUCAGGUAACUGUAUAUAACCUAUGCAUACUGCAUGUGAACAUGGUCCCUUACACGGAUGUCAUGUCUUUUUUUUUAAAGAUUUUAUUUAUUUAUUUGACAGAGACAGAGACAGCGAGAGCAGGAACACAAGCAGCGGGAGUGGGAGAGGGAGAAGAAGGCUUCCCCUUGAGGAGGGAGCCCGAUGUGGGACUCGAUCCCAGGACCCUGGGAUCAUGACCUGAGCCAAAGGCAGACGCUUAACGACUGAGCCACCCAGGCGCCCGGAUGUCAUGUCUUUUAAAAAAGGCUGCAAAUGACUGCUCAAAGGAAAUAAAAGAUAAAGAUGAAUCAGCUAUACUUUAUAGGCUAGAUUAUCUAGUUGCAGGAUAUUAAAAAUUCAUUUACAGUGUUGUGGGGAAUCAAGGAAAGAAGAAAGUGUGUUCCUUUUCUAUUAGUGAGAUCCUCAAGAGAGAGUUUCCUCAGGGAAAUCUCCCUCCACUGUCAACCAUGGAGGUGGGCCCCGGGCGGGUUUCCUUACAAAGAAUCCCUUUUGUGCACUGCACUGUUGUGUUUGGAGAACAGGAGAAAGAAUGAAAGGCAGAUCAACAGAUCUUUGCCUGCCCUACUUAACAAUCUAGGCGAGGAAUAUAUGUGCCUUCGAGAGUGUAAGAGAUCAUAAAUUAUUCAUGCAUGCCAAGGGGAUGGGGAAUGAAGGGACCAUCAGGAAAGUGGGCUAAGAGCUGGGAAGCACUUGAUUGAAAUGGGUGAAGGAAGGGUGGCUUUGAAUAGCCAUAGAGUUGAGGAGACUUUCAGAAAGGGGCAGUGAGAGAGGGAGCAAGGCCAGAGAGAGGAGCAGGCAGCUGAGAGAAGCAGGAAGCGCAAGGAAAGAAACUCUCAGAGAGUUGUGACCACAUGGCUGAGGACUUUGACUUUGACACAGUAGUGCCCAGAGAGUCACGUUCGGUUCCAGAGCAAAGGAAUGCUGUGAUGAAAAUAGCACUGAAAUCAUUUAAUUUUGGCAUCUUAUUUCCUAUUGAUGGACACAGGGAGAGGAAGGAGCAAGUAUAAGGUUUUAGAACUAGUCUGGUGUGUGAAACAGUGGAGGCUGGAUUAGGGUCAGUCUGAGGGACAACCCAGGGAAAAUGCUCUGGGGCUUAGUAACAAAUGGACAUCAAGGACAGAGCGGGGACAGAAAUAGCUCUAAGGUUGCGAGCCUGGAUGCAUGGUGGCGAUGCCGCUGAGUCAUGUGAUAGUGCUGACUGGAGCUUCAUGAGCUCAGCUGUACGCAGAUGCCAUACAAGAAGAAUAUUCAGAAAGCAAUGUCCUACUAAUAAUGGGAACCAGAGGACUGAAGUGACAGAAGUCUCAGCAGGGGCAGGGCUAGUUGGGGAGUCAUUUGUCAAACUUCUGGUCAAUAGGAGCUUUGUUGGGGGGCUAGGAAGAGGUCACCUGUGUGAGUAAUUAUGUGCAUGUCAUGAGGUUUUGUAAGAUAACAGUGAAAUCCAGAGGAACUAUCGGGCCUAAACAUCUCUUUGUCUUUAUGCCUUGUGGAUGGAUAACUCGGUCAAUGAAAAGAUGUUUGAAUUUACACAAAUAUUUGAAUUGCAGAGUUGUUUUUGCUGGAAGUAUAUCGAUGAGAUCUACACUCUUUGUUCACACAUAUUUACCUUUCACAAGACCAGCAGGAAGAGUGCCCACUGCCCUGGCAUUAUCAAAUGUUUCUUUCUGAGGCUGAUGCU